rnacentral:rRNA from 1 species
UACGGGGGGCGCAAGCGUUGUUCGGAUUUACUGGGCGUAAAGGGCGCGUAGGCGGCCACCGCAAGUCGACUGUGAAAUCUCCGGGCUUAACCCGGAAAGGUCAGCCGAUACUGCGGGGCUAGAGUGCAGAAGGGGCAACUGGAAUUCUCGGUGUAGCGGUGAAAUGCGUAGAUAUCGAGAGGAACACCUGCGGCGAAGGCGGGUUGCUGGGCUGACACUGACGCUGAGGCGCGAAAGCGAGGGGAGCGAACGGG